rnacentral:rRNA from 1 species
UAGGGAAUCUUGCGCAAUGGGCGAAAGCCUGACGCAGCGACACCGCGUGGGGGAUGAAGGCCUUCGGGUUGUAAACCCCUUUCAUGAGGGAAGAACACUGACCUAACCUCAGGAAGAAGCACCGGCUAACUCCGUGCCAGCAGCUGCGGUAAUACGGAGAGUGCAAACGUUGUUCGGAUUCACUGGGCGUAAAGGGCACGUAGGCGGCUCGGCAAAUCGGUCGUGGAAUCCCGACGCUUACCGUCGGAACGGCGGCCGAAAAUACCGGGCUCGAGGGCGUGAGGGGUCACUGGAACUCCUGGUGAAGCGGUGAAAUGCGUAGAUAUCAGGAGGAACGCCGGAGGCGAAAGCGAGUGACUGGCGCGUUCCUGACGCUGAGGUGCGAAAGCUAGGGGAGCAAACAGGAUUAGAUACCCCCGUAGUCC